UUUAUGGAGAGUUUGAUCCUGGCUCAGGAUGAACGCUGGCGGCGUGCCUAAUACAUGCAAGUCGAGCGAACGGACGAGAAGCUUGCUUCUCUGAUGUUAGCGGCGGACGGGUGAGUAACACGUGGAUAACCUACCUAUAAGACUGGGAUAACUUCGGGAAACCGGAGCUAAUACCGGAUAAUAUUUUGAACCGCAUGGUUCAAAAGUGAAAGACGGUCUUGCUGUCACUUAUAGAUGGAUCCGCGCUGCAUUAGCUAGUUGGUAAGGUAACGGCUUACCAAGGCAACGAUGCAUAGCCGACCUGAGAGGGUGAUCGGCCACACUGGAACUGAGACACGGUCCAGACUCCUACGGGAGGCAGCAGUAGGGAAUCUUCCGCAAUGGGCGAAAGCCUGACGGAGCAACGCCGCGUGAGUGAUGAAGGUCUUCGGAUCGUAAAACUCUGUUAUUAGGGAAGAACAUAUGUGUAAGUAACUGUGCACAUCUUGACGGUACCUAAUCAGAAAGCCACGGCUAACUACGUGCCAGCAGCCGCGGUAAUACGUAGGUGGCAAGCGUUAUCCGGAAUUAUUGGGCGUAAAGCGCGCGUAGGCGGUUUUUUAAGUCUGAUGUGAAAGCCCACGGCUCAACCGUGGAGGGUCAUUGGAAACUGGAAAACUUGAGUGCAGAAGAGGAAAGUGGAAUUCCAUGUGUAGCGGUGAAAUGCGCAGAGAUAUGGAGGAACACCAGUGGCGAAGGCGACUUUCUGGUCUGUAACUGACGCUGAUGUGCGAAAGCGUGGGGAUCAAACAGGAUUAGAUACCCUGGUAGUCCACGCCGUAAACGAUGAGUGCUAAGUGUUAGGGGGUUUCCGCCCCUUAGUGCUGCAGCUAACGCAUUAAGCACUCCGCCUGGGGAGUACGACCGCAAGGUUGAAACUCAAAGGAAUUGACGGGGACCCGCACAAGCGGUGGAGCAUGUGGUUUAAUUCGAAGCAACGCGAAGAACCUUACCAAAUCUUGACAUCCUUUGACAACUCUAGAGAUAGAGCCUUCCCCUUCGGGGGACAAAGUGACAGGUGGUGCAUGGUUGUCGUCAGCUCGUGUCGUGAGAUGUUGGGUUAAGUCCCGCAACGAGCGCAACCCUUGAGCUUAGUUGCCAUCAUUAAGUUGGGCACUCUAAGUUGACUGCCGGUGACAAACCGGAGGAAGGUGGGGAUGACGUCAAAUCAUCAUGCCCCUUAUGAUUUGGGCUACACACGUGCUACAAUGGACAAUACAAAGGGCAGCGAAACCGCGAGGUCAAGCAAAUCCCAUAAAGUUGUUCUCAGUUCGGAUUGUAGUCUGCAACUCGACUACAUGAAGCUGGAAUCGCUAGUAAUCGUAGAUCAGCAUGCUACGGUGAAUACGUUCCCGGGUCUUGUACACACCGCCCGUCACACCACGAGAGUUUGUAACACCCGAAGCCGGUGGAGUAACCUUUUAGGAGCUAGCCGUCGAAGGUGGGACAAAUGAUUGGGGUGAAGUCGUAACAAGGUAGCCGUAUCGGAAGGUGCGGCUGGAUCACCUCCUUUCU
rnacentral:rRNA from 1 species